rnacentral:rRNA from 1 species
GACGAACGCUGGCGGCGUGCUUAACACAUGCAAGUCGAACGGAAAGGCCCUGCUUUUGUGGGGUGCUCGAGUGGCGAACGGGUGAGUAACACGUGAGUAACCUGCCCUCGACUUUGGGAUAACUUCAGGAAACUGGGGCUAAUACCGGAUAGGAGCUCCUGCUGCAUGGUGGGGGUUGGAAAGUUUCGGCGGUUGGGGAUGGACUCGCGGCUUAUCAGCUUGUUGGUGGGGUAGUGGCUUACCAAGGCUUUGACGGGUAGCCGGCCUGAGAGGGUGACCGGCCACAUUGGGACUGAGAUACGGCCCAGACUCCUACGGGAGGCAGCAGUGGGGAAUAUUGCACAAUGGGCGGAAGCCUGAUGCAGCAACGCCGCGUGCGGGAUGACGGCCUUCGGGUUGUAAACCGCUUUCGCCUGUGACGAAGCGUGAGUGACGGUAAUGGGUAAAGAGGCACCGGCUAACUACGUG